rnacentral:rRNA from 1 species
GGCGGCGUGCCUAACACAUGCAAGUCAACUUGAGGGAAGGAGCAAUCUGACCUGAUGGUGGCGCGAGGGUGCGUAACGCGUAAGUAACUUGCCCCAAGGUAAGGAAUAACGUCGAGAAAUCGGCGCUAAUACCUCAUAAUGCAGCGGAUCCGCAUGGAUAUGUUGUUAAAGGUUUACCGCCUUGGGAUAGGCUUGCGUCUGAUUAGCUAGUUGGUGUGGUAAUGGCACACCAAGGCUACGAUCAGUAACUGGUCUGAGAGGAUGAUCAGUCACACUGGAACUGAGACACGGUCCAGACUCCUACGGGAGGCAGCAGUGAGGAAUAUUGGGCAAUGCACGAAAGUGUGACCCAGCAACGCCGCGUGGAGGAUGAAGGUAUUCUAUAUCGUAAACUCCUGUGAGAGCAGACGAAAGACAGAUUAUUAAUUUGGAUGACUGUAUGCUCAGAGGAAGCCCCGGCUAACUACGUG